GCGGCGGAACGGGUGAGUAACACGUGGGCAACCUGCCUGUAAGACUGGGAUAACUUCGGGAAACCGGAGCUAAUACCGGAUAAUAUAAGGAACCUCCUGGUUCUUUAUUGAAAGAUGGUUUCGGCUAUCACUUACAGAUGGGCCCGCGGCGCAUUAGCUAGUUGGUGAGGUAAUGGCUCACCAAGGCGACGAUGCGUAGCCGACCUGAGAGGGUGAUCGGCCACACUGGGACUGAGACACGGCCCAGACUCCUACGGGAGGCAGCAGUAGGGAAUCUUCCACAAUGGACGAAAGUCUGAUGGAGCAACGCCGCGUGAGCGAUGAAGGCCUUCGGGUCGUAAAGCUCUGUUGUUAGGGAAGAACAAGUGCGAGAGUAACUGCUCGCACCUUGACGGUACCUAACCAGAAAGCCACGGCUAACUACGUGCCAGCAGCCGCGGUAAUACGUAGGUGGCAAGCGUUGUCCGGAAUUAUUGGGCGUAAAGCGCGCGCAGGUGGUCCUUUAAGUCUGAUGUGAAAGCCCACGGCUCAACCGUGGAGGGUCAUUGGAAA
rnacentral:rRNA from 1 species